GUGUUACUAUCUAGCACUUUUCUUCUGAUACAUUGGGGUUGUAGAUGCUGGGAUUGACCAGGGCCUUGAGCAUGCCAGGCAUGUACUCUGUAAUUGAGCUGUGCCUCCAGCCUUCUUCAGACCUAUAUAUGUCAUUUGUAUAAACAUAAUAAAAAUACAAAAGAUAAAGCAUUUUCUGAUAUUUAAGUAUGUUACAUGAUUUUUUAAAAACAGACACAGGGCUUCAGUAUAUUCCGCAGGCUAGCUUUGAACUCCAGGGCUCCAGCAGUCAUCUGCCCCAGGCUCCAGAGCAAGUAGGACGUCAGGUACCUGCUCUCUUGCCUGGCUCUAGAUUUUAAUUUCUAAGAGUUAACUCAUUUUUUUCUUUAAAAACAAUAAUAACUACAGUAUAUAUCUUGACUAUUACAUGUUUGCUACACUCACAUUAUGGAGGGAGGUCCCAUGUGGAAUCCUAAUUAAAUAGCCUUUCCAGCAAAACUUACAGCUUCCCAGAAAACAAAUUCCUGUGUUCCUUUCCUCUUGGAAGAGACAAAUGGCUUACGGCCUUGGGGCAGGGACUGCCAAGGCUUUCUGUAUCUGGCCGUAAACUGACUUUUCAAGUCCUUUGUUUACCCUCUGUCUGAAUACUAGCCAUUUUGUGGCCAUACAGUCUGUCUUGAAAGUUGUUCUUUGGCUGUAAUCUGUGCUGUGAUCUGAGCCAGGCAUCCAUGUAUGAACCACUUUUUAGAAAGCCUGCCCCAGCGAGUGAUCUCUUUUUCUACAGUGUACUUUGUGUACACUGUGCUAAAAUACUACUUCAGGUUCUGUGCCACCAUGUCAAGUAGCACAGUAUGACAGUACCUUUUUGCAGGGAAGGAUACACCCUGUCUUAUCUUUGCAAAUGUGUCUUUAAAAUCCCAAACUAAAUCUUUAAUCUCAGCACUUGGGAGGCCGAGGCAGACAGAUCUCCAGACCUGCUUGGUCUACAGAGGGAGAUCCAGGACGGCCAGAGCUACCUAGAGAAAACUUAGCAUGAAAAUGCAAAAAAAACAUUCCCAGCCAAGUGGGACGCAUUGACUGGUCACACGUGGUACCUCUGGCCUUUCUUUUAUUUAUUUAUUUAUUUAUAUAUGAAACCCCACUUUCAACUAAAGGGGGAUGGGACACACUAGGCCAUGGCAUCAGGCUCCUUGAGCUGCUUGCCAGAGAGUGAGGUGGAUAAUCUACUCCCCCUGCAGAGGACAGGAGGCGCCUAGCAAGCAGACGACGUUCUUCCUGUUCUGCUGUAGAUCACUUGUACAGUUUCAUUAAUGAGCUUCCAGAGAAAGUCCAGACUGAGACUGUCAUGCCAGGGAGCCUGGCGUGUUCUUGGCUUACUGAAGCAGGGCAGCAUAUUGUAUCACGUGGCUUUGCUGUUUCCUGCUUAAGACCUUUCCUCACCAUUCUGUAUGUAUGUGUACGUCAAAGAAAACACCAGUGACUUAGUUCUUAAUCCUCGC
rnacentral:lncRNA from 1 species